GUUGUCCGGAAUUAUUGGGCGUAAAGAGCUCGUAGGCGGUUUGUCGCGUCUGCUGUGAAAACUCGGGGCUUAACCCUGGGCCUGCAGUGGGUACGGGCAGACUAGAGUGCGGUAGGGGAGACUGGAAUUCCUGGUGUAGCGGUGAAAUGCGCAGAUAUCAGGAGGAACACCGGUGGCGAAGGCGGGUCUCUGGGCCGUAACUGACGCUGAGGAGCGAAAGCGUGGGGAGCGAACAGG
rnacentral:rRNA from 1 species